GACGAACGCUGGCGGCGUGCUUAACACAUGCAAGUCGAACGGAGAGACCUCUUUCGGGGGGUACUCGAGUGGCGGACGGGUGAGUAACACGUGAGUAACCUGCCCUUGACUUUGGGUUAACUUCAGGAAACUGGGGCUAAUACCGAAUAGUAGCUCCUGCUGCAUGGUGGGGUUUGGAAAGUUUCGGCGGUUGGGUAUGGACUCGCGGCUUAUCAGCUUGGUGGUGGGUUAGUGGCUUACCAAGGCCUUGACGGGUAGCCGGACUGAGAGAGUGACCGGCGACACUGGGACUGAGAUAAGGCAGAGAUUGGUAAGGGAGGCAGAAGUGCGGAAGCUUGAACAAUGGGUGGAGGCUUGAUGAAGAAGCGCUGCGGGUGGGAUGACGCCCUUAGUGUUGUAAAACGCUUGCGCUCAUGACGAAGCUUUGUGUGACGGUAGUGGGUAAAGAAGCACCGGCUAACUACGUG
rnacentral:rRNA from 1 species